GUGAAAGGUGAGGAUGUGGGGAAGAGGUGUUGAGUUUGAGAGUUCUGGGGAGAGAUGAGUUUGUUGAAGUAAAUGGUAAGAGGGUUGUGGUGGAUGAGGUGGUGAGUGAUGAUCUUGUGGUGGUAACAGGUUUCACAGAGAAAGAGGAGAUGGUUCUCAAAGCAAAGGUUGGGGAUGAUGCCAUUAUUGGGGAUGAUGGUGCUACUACUGUCUGUUUAGAAUGUGGUGAGAGAAAGUGAAUAACGAUGAGGUGAGUUGUUUUUGAGUGCUAUGAAGAAAAGUGAAGGUGGCAGGGUGUUAAAGACUUGGAAAUGGUGUGUAUAUAUAGAGAAAGGAGAUACUAAAAGUGGAAAGAAA
rnacentral:lncRNA from 1 species